AUGGAGGCAACUCUGAUGCAGCGACGCCGCGUGAGCGAUGAAGCCCUUCGGGGUGUAAAGCUCUUUCGACGGGAACGAUUAUGACGGUACCCGGAGAAGAAGCUGCGGCUAACUACGUGCCAGCAGCCGCGGUAAUACGUAGGCAGCAAGCGUUGUUCGGAAUUACUGGGCGUAAAGAGUGUGUAGGCGGUUUUCUAAGUUCGGUGUGAAAUCUCCCGGCUUAACUGGGAGGGUGCGCCGGAAACUGGAAGGCUUGAGUAUGGGAGAGGAAGGCGGAAUUCCUGGUGUAGCGGUGAAAUGCGUAGAUAUCAGGAGGAACACCUGCGGUGUAGACAGCUUUCUGGACCAUCACUGACGCUGAGACACGAAAGCGUGGGUAGCAAACAGGAUUAGAUACCCUGGUAGUCCACGCCCUAAACGAUGCAUACUUGGUGUGAGCCGUUCAGUCGGUUCGUGCCGGAGCUAACGCGUUAAGUAUGCCGCCUGGGGAGUA
rnacentral:rRNA from 1 species